rnacentral:snoRNA from 1 species
AACCAGCACUCUGUGACAGAUUAUCAAAAUAGGCUGGCACAAUCUGAGCUUGCUACAGCAAGGAAGUCUGGCACUCCUGCUCUGUAAGAUGGGCUGUUACACAGACUUAAUGUAA